AGUAUAAUGUAGGGGACUACCUACUAAUAGUGAACAGGAUCCCCAGCUCCUGAUGGUUGACAACUGCAAGGAAGAUGGGGUCUCUCAGAAACUACUUAUAAGAACCAGCCAACAUCUGCUCUGUUUGAGACGAGCAUGUCAAACAAUGAGAAAUGCAGAGGGAAACAGAGAGAUGAUCAUGAAUCCUCUGUUCAUCAGAUGUAUUAGACUCCUUGGGACACCUGAUCAGGGUCUUAAUCACUGCAUCUGUAAAAAUGAGCAGGUUUCCAUGAAGUGAAACAUUUACUAUAAAUGGAUAAAUUUUGUCAGGGAGCUGCUUCAACAGUGUCCUAAAUGAAUAGUCAGAGUAAAAGCAUAGCACAGAUAUAGUCAAAAAGAAGUAACCCUCUUUUUUUAGAAAAAAAAAGUGCUAAAUUUUAAAGCACAGUUUUAUUCUGCAACUUGGACAGUAUCCCAGGUAUCUUGUUUAGAGUAUGUGAGUGCUGCAGAGAAGUCAGAGAGAAAAGAUAGAAGCUGGAGUAGAAUCAGCUGGAUUGGACCCAAGUAGACUAGGCCUACUGUAAAAGUAAGACCACUACGGCUGGAGGAGUUCACCAAGAAACUGACACACAGACUGGGAGUCAUGUUGCUGCCAAGGUGGGACCAAUACUGAUGAAAGGUGCCCAGAGCUAGAAAGAGGAGGGGAGAAUCAGAGACUCGCAGACUCAGAUUCAAAUAUGAGAUCACAAGAUGAAGCAGAAGCCAACUCAAGCAAGAAGUAACAGGAAGAGGGUGAUAAGUAACAGCUAGAACAUGUACAUGAGUCAAGACAUGUGUGUUUGCCUGAUUCAUGAAGCCAGGAAAGGGAUAAAAAUUCAGGCAGCAAGUGGUGUGGCAUUUUAUUUUGAUUUGAAUGUAAGUAGUCAUCAAAAUUAAUGAAUAAAAAUAGUUAUCAGUUUGUAUGUAUAGACAUUUAAGAAUAUUUCGUACUCCAUUUGCAGCUAUAAAAAUGAAUAAAAAAGAUUUCUAUUAACUGAUAU
rnacentral:lncRNA from 10 species